CGGGUGAGUAACACGUAAGUAACCUGCCUUUAAGACGAGGAUAACAACCGGAAGGUUACUAAGACUGGAUAGGAAACAAAAAGGCAUCUUUUUGUUUUUAAAAGACCUUCUUACGAAGGUAUGCUUAAAGAGGGGCUUGCGCCACAUUAGUUAGUUGGUAGAGUAAAAGCCUACCAAGACGAUGAUGUGUAGCUGGACUGAGAGGUUGAACAGCCACAUUGGGACUGAGACACGGCCCAAACUCCUACGGGAGGCAGCAGUAGGGAAUUUUCGGCAAUGGAGGAAACUCUGACCGAGCAACGCCGCGUGAACGAUGAAGUAUUUCGGUAUGUAAAGUUCUUUUAUUGAAGAAGAAAAAGUAGUGGAAAAACUAUAUUGACGUUAUUCAAUGAAUAAGCCCCGGCUAACUAUGUGCCAGCAGCCGCGGUAAGACAUAGGGGGCGAGCGUUAUCCGGAAUUAUUGGGCGUAAAGGGUGCGUAGGCUGUUAGAUAAGUCUAUAAUUUAAUUUCAGUGCUUAACGCUGUCUUGUUAUAGAAACUGUCUUGACUAGAGUGAGAUAGAGGCAAGCGGAAUUCCAUGUGUAGCGGUAAAAUGUGUAAAUAUAUGGAGGAACACCAGAAGCGUAGGCGGCUUGCUGGGUCUUUACUGACGCUGAGGCACGAAAGCGUGGGUAGCAAACAGGAUUAGAUACCCUGGUAGUCCACGCCGUAAACGAUGAGUACUAAGUGUCGGGGUAAAACUCGGUACUGAAGUUAACACAUUAAGUACUCCGCCUGAGUAGUACGUACGCAAGUAUGAAACUUAAAGGAAUUGACGGGACUCCGCACAAGCGGUGGAUCAUGUUGUUUAAUUCGAAGAUACACGAAAAAUCUUACCAGGUCUUGACAUACUCUGCAAAGCUAUAGAAAUAUAGUGGAGGUUAUCAGGGAUACAGGUGGUGCAUGGUUGUCGUCAGUUCGUGUCGUGAGAUGUUAGGUUAAGUCCUAAAACGAACGCAACCCUUGUCGUUAAUUGCCAGCACAUAAUGGUGGGGACUUUAACGAGACUGCCAAUUAAACAUUGGAGGAAGGUGAGGAUUACGUCAAAUCAUCAUGCCCCUUAUGAUCUGGGCUACAAACGUGAUACAAUGGCUGUGACAAAGAGUAGCUGAAACGCGAGUUUUUAGCCAAUCUCAAAAAAGCAGUCUCAGUUCGGAUUGAAGUCUGUAACUCGACUUCAUGAAGUUGGAAUCGCUAGUAAUCGCGAAUCAGCAUGUCGCGGUGAAUACGUUCUCGGGGUUUGUACACACCGCCCGUCAAACCACGAAAGUUAGCAAUGCCCGAAAGCAGUAGCUUAACUUCGCAAGAAGAGGGAACUGUCUAAGGUAGGGUUGAUGAUUGGGGUUAAGUCGUAACAAGGUAUCCCUACCGG
rnacentral:rRNA from 1 species